UCUAAAAUGUCCAUCUUACACUCCCUAUUGCAAUUGAAGAUCCAAUAUGUAAGAGGGUGGAGGAGGAAGUGAACAUUUGUGACCUUUUGAUUUGAUAUUCUGGCCAUAUGUUUAAAUGGGGGUAUGCUUCUGAUUUUAAAUCCAGCCUUCCCUUGUUUGAUUUCUUUUAAAUGUUAUCUCUCUUUCAACUGUGUUGUCUUAUUUCUAUUUACUGCUUUCCCCCUCUCCUCCUUCCCAAAUAACCCCUCAUGCCUGUUAUUUGGGAUGCUCUUCCCAGGCUUUUUGUUAUUUUUGUUUCUAGACCUUAUUGCGGGAAGAGAAUCGUGAUUGUUUGGUUGCCUUCUCUUCAUAGCUUACUCCAUUUUUGUUUUGCUUGUGGCAGUUUCUUACUUAUUGGAGUUCCUGAGCCAUUAUGUUCACUGAUUGAGAAAGAUUCAUAAAGGCUAUUUUUAUGUGUUUUUUUUUUCCUUCCCUCCUGCUUUGCCUGGAGCUCCCCAUGGCUGAGAGUUUUCUCCUGUGGCCGUGGUGCUGGCUGUCACGUCAGGUGCCAUGGGAGCCUGCUUUGACACACAGACCCGAGUCAGACCUUAAAAAUCAGGGCAAACCAUCUUGCCUUGUUCCUCUAGUCACCAUCACUUUUGUACUCUGGAUUUGUCCUGCCUACCUUUAAUCUGUGUCUCCAGCAUUUAUUUUUUUGUUUGUGUCAUCGGGUUCCUGGUUUUCUUUUAAGACAUAGUCAACUGUGUGGACCUGUAGGUUUGGGGCAGCAACCAAUUCCAUUGUUUUCCUUUUUGUCAAAUCCAAGAGAAAAUAUACCAUAAGGAGCUAGAAGAUUCUAGUUCACAGCCUUUUGAAUCUUCA
rnacentral:lncRNA from 1 species